rnacentral:misc_RNA from 1 species
AUGUGCGAACGCAUCUUUGCUGCAAUCUUUACACUUAUUCCAGUUAGGAUAAUUUUUCAGGAUUCACACGUUCAAGAACCCCAAACACCGUCUGCACCAACGCUUGCAGCUGAUAAUUCACAAGAAUCGUUGUCAUCUCUGGAUUUAAUGUGGCUGAGACGAGAGAAUUCGCUGAUUGUCGACUGCCAAACAUGCUGUGAAAAGGAGAUUUGGUGCUAGAAGUUUUCGAAGAUGCUUCUUUCAUCGCUCUGAUACUAGAUUUUAUAGCAAUAAGAUCUUUAGGCAUGGCAUCGUGAUUCUUUUUCCGUCUCGGCUUUAACAUAGUAAUUUCACGAUUGAUUUUAAACGAUGAUCCAAUCGGAGAUCUUCUCGAGGGACUGUACGAUUUCGCAAUCCAAUUUCUAGUCGAUAAAUUCGUGGUUGUUCUACUGGAAAGAUCGUCAUCGUCAUCGAGACGAAAAGACAAACUAUUCUCAUCCAAUUUGUUCAAUUCUGUAUUAGGUCCAGCGUGUCUUCUCCUGAC